rnacentral:ncRNA from 1 species
UCGACGAAACAGGGGUGCUUCGCGCGCAUCCGCGGCCGGAUCGGUCACCAGCGCGGCGAGGCUGAGAGAGACCCUUUGCACCCGAUCCGGGUAAUACCGGCGAGGGAAGUUUCCGGAGAUCGCGC